UACUAGAGUAGCACUCGCAUAUCAAUAAGCGGAGGAAAAGAAACUAACAAGGAUUCCCCUAGUAACGGCGAGUGAAGCGGGAAGAGCUCAAAUUUGAAAUCUUAAAGGGUUUCCCUUUACGAAUUGUAGUUUAAAGAAGUGUUUUCUGUUGAGGUUUUGGUAAAAGUUCUUUGGAAUAGGACAUCAUAGAGGGUGAGAAUCCCGUAUUUGACCUUUACUUUCAACUUUGUGAUACACUUUCAAAGAGUCGGAUUGUUUGGGAAUGCAGUCCAAAAUGGGUGGUAAAUUUCAUCUAAAGCUAAAUAUUGGCGAGAGACCGAUAGCGAACAAGUACCGUGAGGGAAAGAUGAAAAGAACUUUGAAAAGAGAGUUAAACAGUACGUGAAAUUGUCAAAAGGGAAGCGUUUGACACCAGUGUUGUUUUUCUGAAAAUCAAUUAAAGAACUGUUUAUGCUAAGCUGUUUAGACUUUAUCAGCUAGCUGUUUAGUUUUGAGCUUUUCUUUAAUGCACUUUUCAGUUAACAAGUCAACAUCAAUUUCUUUUGCUGUAAAAAAGCUUGAGGAAGGUGGCUUGAGAUUCGUCUUAAGUGUUUAUAGCCUCUUGCCUAUGCAGUCGGAGAGAUUGAGGUCUGCAGCGUAGAUCCUUCGGGGCUAAAUGCAUUUGUGCUAAGUUAUAGCAUUUUAUAGACAACUUGUUGACUAUGAUUUGUCUUGUAGCUUACUCGCUUAUGUUAUUUUACCUACGCUUAGGAUGUUGAGCGCAUGUCUCUCUCU
rnacentral:rRNA from 1 species